rnacentral:rRNA from 1 species
CACCGCGGUUAUACGAGAGGCCCAAGCUGACAGACCCUCGGCGUAAAGCGUGGUUAAAAUAAUUUUAAACUAAAGCCGAAUGUUCUCUUAUCUGUUAUACGUUCACGAGAAUAAGAAGAUCUUCUACGAAAGUGGCUUUACUCAAUUGAACCCACGAAAGCUAAGACA